rnacentral:rRNA from 1 species
GACGAACGCUGGCGGCGUGCUUAACACAUGCAAGUCGAACGGAAAGGCCCUGCUUUUGUGGGGUGCUCGAGUGGCGAACGGGUGAGUAACACGUGAGUAACCUGCCCUUGACUUUGGGAUAACUUCAGGAAACUGGGGCUAAUACCGGAUAGGAGCCCCUGCUGCAUGGUGGGGGUUGGAAAGUUUCGGCGGUUGGGGAUGGACUCGCGGCUUAUCAGCUUGUUGGUGGGGGAGUGGCUUACCAAGGCUUUGACGGGUAGCCGGCCUGAGAGGGUGACCGGCCACAUUGGGACUGAGAUACGGACCAGACUCCUACGGGAGGCAGCAGUGGGAAAUAUUGCACAGUGGGCGGAAGCCUGAUGCAGCAACGCCGCGUGCGGGAUGACGGCCUUCGGGUUGUAAACCGCUUUCGCCUGUGACGAAGCGUGAGUGACGGUAAUGAGUAAAGAAGCACCGGCUAACUACGUG